GAUCCUGGCUUAGGAUGAACGCUAGCUACAGGCUUAACACAUGCAAGUCGAGGGGCAGCGAGAGGAAAGCUUGCUUCCUGUCGGCGACCGGCGCACGGGUGAGUAACGCGUAUCCAACCUUCCCCAUAGUAGAGGAUAGCCCGGCGAAAGUCGGAUUAAUACUCUAUGUUGUGUCAUGAGGACAUCUGAAUAACACUAAAGAUUUAUCGCUAUGGGAUGGGGAUGCGUCUGAUUAGCUUGUUGGCGGGGUAACGGCCCACCAAGGCGACGAUCAGUAGGGGUUCUGAGAGGAAGGUCCCCCACAUUGGUACUGAGACACGGACCAAACUCCUACGGGAGGCAGCAGUGAGGAAUAUUGGUCAAUGGGCGUGAGCCUGAACCAGCCAAGUAGCGUGCAGGAAUGACUGCCCUAUGGGUUGUAAACUGCUUUUAUGCGGGAAUAAAGUCAGGUACGUGUACCUGUUUGUAUGUACCGCAUGAAUAAGGACCGGCUAAUUCCGUGCCAGCAGCGGC
rnacentral:rRNA from 1 species